CCCUUCCCCUUCCCAUCUUCUCUUGAAGUUACCUAGAUUGCGUCUAUUAUUUGAAUGACUCGUACAAAAGAGAUGCUAUUUAUCGGGCAAAAGCCGGGAGUUCGUGCCCUCUACGCCCGCAAGGAAAACUACAACUCCCAUGAGGACACGGGUGAGAUUGAGGCCGGGCUCCGCCUCCUUCUCCCUGGAGCUUGGUGGACGCCUUCCCAGUGCCACGUGGCGGGGAGCUGAUCUGAUCGCGGGCGUGACGACGGCCCGCACGGCUAGCUGCUUGGCCCGCGGGCCUGGGCAGCCCUGGAGCGGGAAACGCCUCCGUGAGAACGCAUGGCUUCAAGCUUCUCCCUUGCGCUCCUGAUCUUAGGCUGAUCGCUUUUACCUUUAGGUUGAAGUUGAACACAGUUCACACUGUGCUCUUCCUCCCCCUCUUUCUGGAAUUCCAGGCAACAGAUUUAACACUUUAUGAAUCUUGAAGAGCUGCACUCCUCCUAAAUAUUGCAGUUAAUGCUGAUCCUUUGGAAGCCUCCGAAGGCCACAAGGCUGUGAUGGGAGCCUCUGGCUUCAGUUGCCUUUCUCACACCUUAUUUUAAUACUCAAGGUAAACCCUUCUGUACAACUUUAGAAAUAACUGUCAACCUAAAGGAAAAACGGAGGCAAAGUUAAUAUAAAUAGAGAAUUUAUUUGGGCCAAGUCUCAAGAAUGCAAACUGGGAGCAUCACUUCAAGUUACCCUUAAUUUAAUACAUGAUCUUAGCAGCAGUUUCAAGUGAGUUCUUUGUUUUGUUGGCCAGGAAGCUUGAACUCUUGUCUCAAAGGAAUUGAUCCUUCCAUCUCUGCCUCCCAAAGUACUGGGAUUACAGGUGUGGGCGACUGCACCCGGCUACAAGUGAAUUUUUAAAGGAAAAAAAAAGAAGAGGCCCUUGCUAAAUUGUAUUCCAAGAAUUUACAUUAAAAUAACAACCUAUCCA
ensembl:lncRNA novel transcript